rnacentral:rRNA from 1 species
CAGUCGCCACGGUAAUACGUAGGUGGCGAGCGUUGUCCGGAAUUAUUGGGCGUAAAGGGAGCGCAGGCGGACAUAUAAGUCCAUCUUAAAAGUGCGGGGCUCAACCCCGUGAGGGGAUGGAAACUGUAUGCCUUGAGUGCAGGAGAGGAAAGCGGAAUUCCCAGUGUAGCGGUGAAAUGCGUAGAUAUUGGGAGGAACACCAGUGGCGAAGGCGGCUUUCUGGACUGUAACUGACGCUGAGGCUCGAAAGCCAGGGGAGCGAACGGGAUUAGAUACCCCUGUAGUCCCUGUCUCUUAUACA